rnacentral:ncRNA from 2 species
AACUUAUCGAGAGUGAGGGAAGGAACUGGCCCGAUGAACUCCGGCAACCUGCUUCAUGAAAAAGUAAGGUGCUAAUUCCAGCAAAAUGGGUGCCAUUUUGGAAGAUAAGGU